UACGGGGGGAGCAAGCGUUGUUCGGAUUUACUGGGCGUAAAGGGCGCGUAGGCGGCACUGCAAGUCGACUGUGAAAUCUCCGGGCUUAACCCGGAAAGGUCAGCCGAUACUGCGGGGCUAGAGUGCAGAAGGGGCAACUGGAAUUCUCGGUGUAGCGGUGAAAUGCGUAGAGAUCGGGAGGAACAUCCAUGGCGAAGGCAGCUACCUGGACCAACACUGACACUGAGGCACGAAAGCGUGGGGAGCAAACAGG
rnacentral:rRNA from 1 species